rnacentral:rRNA from 1 species
CCUACGGGUGGCAGCAGUGAGGAAUAUUGGUCAAUGGCCGCGAGGCUGAACCAGCCAAGUCGCGUGAAGGAAGACGGCCCUACGGGUUGUAAACCUCUUUUGUCGGGGAGCAAAGCGAACCACGUGUGGCUCAUUUAGAGUACCCGAAGAAAAAGCAUCGGCUACAUCCGUGCCAGCAUCCGCGGUAAUACGGAGGAUGCGAGCGUUAUCCGGAUUUGUUGGGUUUAAGGGGUGCGCAGGCGGAGGUGCAAGUCAGCGGUAAAAUUGCGGGGCUCAACCCCGUACUGCCGUUGAUACUGCAUCCCUUGAGUGCGCGAGAGGUAUGCGGAAUGCGUGGUGUAGCGGUGAAAUGCAUAGAUAUCACGCAGAACUCCGAUUGCGAAGGCAGCAUACCGGCGCGCAACUGACGCUCAUGCACGAAAGCGUGGGUAUCGAACAGGAUUAGAUACCCGUGUAGUC